AUGUUCACUUCAGCAGCACGUAUACUAAAAUUGGAACAAAUCAGAGAAGAUUGGCCCCUGCACAAGGAUGACAUUCAAAAUUGUUAAGUAUUCCAUAUUUAA
rnacentral:snRNA from 1 species